AUUGAACGCUGGCGGCAUGCUUUACACAUGCAAGUCGAACGGCAGCGCGGGCUUCGGCCUGGCGGCGAGUGGCGAACGGGUGAGUAAUACAUCGGAACGUGCCCAGUAGUGGGGGAUAGCUCGGCGAAAGCCGGAUUAAUACCGCAUACGACCUGAGGGUGAAAGCGGGGGAUCUUCGGACCUCGCGCUAUUGGAGCGGCCGAUGGCAGAUUAGCUAGUUGGUGGGGUAAAGGCCUACCAAGGCGACGAUCUGUAGCUGGUCUGAGAGGAGGACCAGCCACACUGGGACUGAGACACGGCCCAGACUCCUACGGGAGGCAGCAGUGGGGAAUUUUGGACAAUGGGCGAAAGCCUGAUCCAGCAAUACCGCGUGUGUGAUGAAGGCCUUCGGGUUGUAAAGCACUUUUGGCGGGAACGAAAAGGACUGUGCCAAUACCACGGUUCGAUGACGGUACCCGCAGAAUAAGCACCGGCUAACUACGUG
rnacentral:rRNA from 1 species